rnacentral:rRNA from 1 species
UGGGGAAUAUUGCACAAUGGAGGGAACUCUGAUGCAGCGACGCCGCGUGAGUGAUGAAGGAAUUCGUUUCGUAAAACUCUGUUCUAUGGGAAGAAAAGGACUGUACCAUAGGAGAAAGCUCCGGCUAAAUACGUGCCAGCAGCCGCGGUAAUACGUAUGGAGCGAGCGUUGUCCGGAAUUAUUGGGCGUAAAGGGUGCGCAGGCGGCUUUACAAGUUGGAUGUGAAAUAUUGUGGCUCAACCACAAACGUGCAUCCAAAACUGCAAAGCUUGAGUUAAGGAGAGGUAAGUGGAAUUCCUGGAGUAGCGGUAGAAUGCGUAGAUAUCAGGAGGAAUACCGGUGGCGAAGGCGACUUACUGGAGUUAACUUGACGAUCAGGCACGAAAGCGUGGGGAGCAAACAGG